AGUGAACGCUGGCGGUAGGCCUAACACAUGCAAGUCGAACGAGUGGCGGACGGGUGAGGAAUACAUCGGAAUCUACUCUGUCGUGGGGGAUAGCGUAGGGAACCUUACGCUAAUACCGCAUACGAUGGAAUUGGCCGAUGUCGGAUUAGCUAGUUGGCGGGGUAAUGGCCCACCAAGGCGACGAUCCGUAGCUGGGCGGAGAGGAUGAUCAGCCCCACUGGAACUGAGACACGGUCCAGACGCCUACGAGAGGCAGCAGUGGGGAAGAUUGGGCAAUGGGCGCAAGCCUGAUCCAGCCAUACCGCGUGGGUGAAGAAGGCCUUCGGUUUGUAAAGCCGUUUUGUUGGGAAAGCGGUACCCACAGAAUAAGCACCGGCUAACUUCGUGCCAGCAGCCGCGGUAAUUC
rnacentral:rRNA from 1 species